AUUGAACGCUGGCGGCAGGCCUAACACAUGCAAGUCGAGCGGGGUUUUCGGACCUAGCGGCGGACGGGUGAGUAAUGCGUAGGAAGCUACCCGACAGAGGGGGAUACCAGUUGGAAACGACUGUUAAUACCGCAUAAUGUCUACGGACCAAAGUGUGGGACCUUCGGGCCACAUGCUGUCGGAUGCGCCUACGUGGGAUUAGCUAGUUGGUGAGGUAAUGGCUCACCAAGGCGACGAUCCCUAGCUGGUUUGAGAGGAUGAUCAGCCACACUGGAACUGAGACACGGUCCAGACUCCUACGGGAGGCAGCAGUGGGGAAUAUUGGACAAUGGGCGCAAGACCUGAUCCAGCCAUG
rnacentral:rRNA from 1 species